rnacentral:tRNA from 1 species
GCGGGCGUGGCGGAAUUGGCAGACGCACUGGAUUUAGGUUCCAGCGAUGCAAAUCGUGGGGGUUCAAAUCCCCCCGCCCGCACCA